rnacentral:lncRNA from 1 species
UGUGGAAUGGCUAACUCAGGUUACUUAAAAUAUACAUCACCUUUCCAUUUUUCUAAUAACAUCUAAUCCACUGAUUAAGAAUCAACAAAAAUUCCGUGAGAUUAUGCCCUUUCCUUAGCCUUCUAAUUGCUUGCAAAGUUGGGGGGGGUGGGGAACAGUCCUUACUGUCCUUCCCAAAAAUAUGCUCAAGUCUGCCAAUUCUAACAUCCUGCCAGCAACCCUCGCGAGACCAACUGACACGGGUCUCUGGAAGGAGUCGGACCUUGGAAGAGCGUGAAGGCGCGCGGCAUUCUGGGAACAGUUACGGUGGCCGAAUUGACUUUGUGGCUGUUACCCUGGCAACGGGAGCAAAAGCAGGGAUCGAACUCGGGAAUUUGAGCUUGCCAGGCAGGCGCGGUGCCACGGAGCUAAAUCUCCGACCCGUAGAGGCCUUUCUAAAAGAAGAGCGUCGUAUCCGGAAGUUUUCCAGGAGUGCUCCAUAGCCGGAACAGUGGAUCCAGGAAUCUGGGUCUCGCUCCGUUGUUUCUGGGUCUUGAGAAAGGAAGUGCAGCCCUCUGGCUCCUCACUGUUGCUUCUCUAGUUUUCUAGCUCCUUUUAGAAAAUUGAGUUUGGAUGCAACAUGUCAAGACAAUCCUUUAAGAAGUGUGGCUGUAAAGGAAAAGAGAAAGGUCAGUGCCUGAAGAGAAUGGCAAGUGAAGAAAUUGGAAGAUUUCUUUAUGGAAGAGUGACCUACUGUUUAUUAAUACAACAGAAAAAAAGUUGAUACUUGCGGUGGUUAUUCAUUGUCAACAAAAGAAUUAAAACCCUCAGCAGCAAAAUUCCUCAUUAAAGCAAUCCUGCCCAGCGAGUACUAAGCAGUCAUAAGAUAAUGCACUGUGAGGAAGAAAUAAAUGAUCUUGUCAAGUUGCACCUUUAAUGUACAACUUUAGAUAUGAUGCAGGUGUUCCUGAAAGAUUAACAAGGAAGAAGAUGCCCUGGAAAAUGCAUUUCUGAGACAUCUACAUUUGCUGACUCAGACCCUUUCCUAUUUCCUCAAUAUAAAGACGCCAGCUUCUCCCCGUGACAGAGCAAUUCCUCCCUUGGGAACUUACCCACC